rnacentral:lncRNA from 1 species
CGCGGCCGGAGAGUUUGCUGUGCUGGCGACGGUGGUGAGGACGGCGGGUGGUGGAGUCGGAGGGACGAGAUGGGAUGGAAAUGGGCUUAGGAGUAAGAGCUAAGUGGGUUCGUGGAGGGAAACAAACCAGCAAAUCUGCAGAGUAACCAGAAGAAGAAGAAGGUCCUCUGUUUCCAUCUCUUCCUUUGAUCAUAGCUUUUGUUUUUCUUGGGGGGUUUGGUUUUUUGAUCGAUCUCUCAACAAUGGAAGGGUUCAGCUUUUUAUGUUUGGUUUUUUUAUAAAAUUCUUGUUCUUUUUUUAUAAACUUUUCUUUCUAGGCUUUGAAAUGCCUGUGCUUACAGCUCUUACAUGCCUUUUGCUUUUGAGGGGAAAACAUUGUUUUCAUUUGAAACCCUAUUUUAUAGAAAGUGAAAAUAGGUGGUGCAAUAUCAAUAUAUUUUUUUAUAAAUGUUGAUUGUGAAAAUAAUAAAUGCUGUGAAACUGGUUGAUAAAUAUGGCAAGAAGAUGUGAUGGGGUCAAAGACUUCAAAGGAGUGAAGAGGGUUCAUUACAACUUUAUUCCAUCAUGUACAAGAAGCUUCUUGAACUGAAAUAUUCACUUUCAGCAUUCAAUGGUCGUCACCAUUUCUUCUUCAUUCAUUUGUUUUUCAUUUCACUUUGAGAUUUAUGCCAAUGUUAGAUUGAUAGGGUUUGUAAAUAUAUGAUGAACUUAAGGACUUAGUGUAUCAAGUGUGAUCAUUAUUUUGUCGAAAAUAAAGAUUGGCAUGUGAAUGUGACAAGGGUGAUUAUAGUCGAAUGCUCCGAUAAACUAAAGUUGGAAAGGUUUCGUGGGCUUUACUUUUGUUAAUACAAUAUAAAAUCAUCAUAUUAUUAUAUGAAUAGAAAAAAGAAAGACAAUGGUAUAAAGAGGAAAAAGAUUGGAAGGGCACGAGGCUUGUUUCUUUAUCCAAUGGUACUCACAAGCUGUAAGGUCACAUUUCACUUUGUUCUUGUCAUCUUCAACCAUAAACUCAUAAAAUCAUCUCCCAGUUUAACUACCUUCUAACUUAUCACUAAACUAUAGCAACAACAUUCCCUUUGUUGCUGCCACUAUAGUUGAAUACUGGUUGAAUUCACAUGGAAUGGGUAAAUAAGCAUGCUCUAUUCCCUGCUCUCACUCUAGUUAACUUAAACUUACCAAUGAUGCUAUAAUUGCGUUCAUGCCUUUGAAGUAGUACAGUUUAUAUUUGCUGGAAUGAUAUAUACAUGCACUUGGACAAAAUAUCAAAUAAAUUGAAACUACCAGGCCCCAACAAUCAAAUAAUUGAAAGGAUGCAAAGAAAAGUUUGGUAUUUGUUAUCAUGAUAAGUUGCAUCAACAUAGAGGUAGGCCUUUAGCACUAGGGAAAAACACUUUUAUUUAAUCGUUAAGGAGCAAUCCCUUGAUAAAUAAAUUAUGUAAAGGAUAAUAUUGUUUUUAUAUUAAUUUCUUAAAAGAUCAAGUAGAUGAAGAUAGAGUUUGAUUUAGUUGUACUCCUGAGAGCGACAAUGUUGAGAGAUCAUGUGGGUAGGGCUUUGGCACUAACAGCCCCAUUAGAAAAAAAAAGUUAAGCAGUUCAUUUUACUCUUUCACAAGCUGAAGUCUUUUUUUUUCAAAUCACACUGAAACAUAUUUCAUAAUAGAUAUAUUUAGGUCGUAAAAGCUCUUAACUGAGACAAACUUCAUGAUAAAUGUGACAAAAGGAAGCCUGUUUCAUAUGAAAAGUAAUUGUAUUGCUUAACUCUUUUAACAUGUAAUCAAAGUUGGGGACUGAAGCAUCAUUCACACCUAUAAGCUAUUGUUGGUUCACUCUCUAAUCAAAAAAUUUAUAUGUGAGAUAUAUAUUCUGUGCUAGUAGUAGUCUUUGUAGCACAUAUAUUUUUCAUUUAAAUGUAUGCUAGCCUGCUAGGACCACAUUUUUGUUUUAUAAUAGGGGAUUAACUUAUGGUUUAGCGAAACUAACAACGUAAUCUCUUUCGAUCUACACUCUAUCGCCCUUCGCAGAUUUAUAUAAUAAUGUCUAGAAAUUGCACUAGUGACCUAAUCAAAUAACAAUCCGUUGGAUCAUGAUAGUGAUGAUACCACCCAAUGCCUACAAAAACGAUUACUGUAUUAAAGAAUGUGUUCGUAAAUCGUAAUGAUAUCAGUUCAAAUCUUGACAUACUUUAUUGUUCAGGGAACUUCGAUAAGAAUAUUGAAAAGUGAACUGCAAGUACAGCUAAUAGCCUAAUAUAACUUUAAACUUGAAAGAGAUUUGCUUUAAUUUUAUUUUCUCCAAAGUAACGAGCCAUAAUGGGCUUAAACUUGGAUCAAGUAGUCUUUCGUAGUUAUUAAUUGUUUGCUUGGCGACGGUUGGAGUCGGAGGGACAAGGUGGACUACAAAUGGGCUUUGAGGUAAGAGCUAAGUGGGUUCUUGAAGGGAAACAAACCAACAAAUCUGCACUGCAGGGUAGCCACCAGAAGAUCAUCAUUGACGGUAGGAAGGUUCUUGCACUUUCUCACCAAAGUUUGUGCUAUAGUAGGAGGUGUAUGAUUGAUCUCUCUCUCUCUCUCUCUUUUCUCCAAGCAACGUACAAUAGAUUGUAAAAAUCAUUAAAUCUAAUAAAUGUUGGUUUAUCAUUUGUAAUCCCGUAGGCGCUUCCACAGUUUCUGGAAUCCUUGAUUUAUUUUUAUUCGGCUGAGUCUCAC